UACAGAGGGAGCCAAGCGUUGUCCGGAUUGACUGGGCGUAAAGCGCACGCAGGCGGUUGCGCGCGUGGGGUGUGAAAUCUGGCCGCUUAACGGCCAGGCGCCAUCCCAUACGGCGCGACUGGAGUGAUGCAGAGGUCGAUGGAAUUGCCGGUGUAGUGGUGAAAUGCGUAGAGAUCGGCAGGAACACCCAGGGGGAAACCAGUCGACUGGGCAUCUACUGACGCUGAGGUGCGAGAGCGUGGGGAGCGAACCGG
rnacentral:rRNA from 1 species